rnacentral:rRNA from 1 species
AACAAGGAUUCCCUCAGUAACGGCGAGUGAAGCGGGAAGAGCUCAAAUUUGAAAUCUCCGAUGCUUGCAUCGGCGAGUUGUAGUUGCGAGAAGCACUUUCUAGGCGGAUCGACGGUGCCUAAGUUGCUUGGAACGGCACGUCGCAGAGGGUGACAACCCCGUCUGUGGCGCCGCCGGCCGCCGACGAUGUGCUUUCGAAGAGUCGGGUUGUUUGGGAAUGCAGCCCAAAACGGGUGGUAAACUCCAUCUAAAGCUAAAUACUGGCGUGAGACCGAUAGCGAACAAGUACCGUGAGGGAAAGAUGAAAAGAACUUUGAAAAGAGAGUUAAAAAGUACGUGAAACCGUCGAAAGGGAAACGAAUGGACUCAGCAAUGCGCCCUCUGAGAUUCAGCCGGUGGGUGGCGGCGGCGCCGGGUUUGCGGAUCUGAAUGGACCGCGGCCUGGCGCCCGCCUCUCCCCGCCGUCGCACUUCUCUGGGGCGCGCGUCAACGUGGGUUGGGACUGGGUCUGAAAGGCGCCGGGAAGGUAGGUGUGGGCCUUCGGGUCCGUUCUGUUACAGCCCGGUUCUCUCAUGGCUCGGGCCCGACCGAGGAGCGACACGGGGCAUGCCUCCUGUGGCUAGGGUCCCGCCCUUCCGGCCGGCUGUCCAGUGCGGUGGACUGCUUGCAGUGCUCCCCGACGGCUGCCGGUCGUUGGGGUGGUGAUCUCGUACCAUGCCCCUA